ACCGGAGGUUACCACAGCCGCGGGGACCCGGGACCCUCCCCCCGCCCUCCCCCACCACGUCGCCGCUCUGCCUUCAGUCGGGAAUCAAUGGUCUGGUCGCAGAUUGGUGACAUCAUUGGCGCGCCGGGCGUGGGAGGGAGUGCCACGUGACUGCCCCCUCUUUUGUUUGCGCUCUAGGAACGCUAGGGUGUUUUGGUGCGGUCUUCCCCGUUUUCUUUUAUUUAUUUAUUCUUUGGAUCUGUUAAUGGCGUUGUUAUGCGCAGGGUGCGGAGUGUGUCCUUGCGGCUUAGGAUGCUGCGUUUUUUGAUCGUGGCCUCGAUUCCUUCUCCUUUACAACGUGGUUGGGCCGGAAGGCCUGAGAAGUUAUGUAGGCCCACUCUGUUCUAAAAAAAAAAACAAAAAAAAACCCACUUAGGAGCGGCGCUGUGGCGUAGCGGGUAAAGCCGCCGCCUGCAGUGCCGGCAUCUUGUAUUGGCGCCGGUUCGAGUCCUGGCUGCUCUACUUCCGAUCCAGCUCUGCUAUGGCCUGGGAAAGCAGAAGAUGACCCAAGUGCUUGGACCGCUGCACCUGUGUGGGAGACCGGGAAGAAGCUCUUGGCUCCUGGCUUCGGAUCGGCACAGCUGUUGCCGUGGCAGCCAUCUGAGGAGUGAACCAGUGGUUGUACCAGUUUACACUGCUACCAUCAUCCACAUCUCUAACACUUCACGUUUCUUGGUUUGUGAAAUGAUGCCUCACUGAGCUCCUGGUUCUGGCUUCCUGCUAAUGCACAUCCUGGGAGGCAGUGGUGAUGUUUCAAGAUAUAGGAUUCCUAGGCCGGCGCCGUGGCUCAACAGGCUAAUCCUCCGCCUAGUG